GCCGGGAUGGCGGAAUUGGUAGACGCGCCGGACUCAAAAUCCGGUGCCCGCGAGGGCGUAUGGGUUCGAGUCCCAUUCCCGGUACCA
rnacentral:tRNA from 1 species